rnacentral:rRNA from 1 species
CUCAGGAUGAACGCUGGCGGCGUGCCUAAUACAUGCUAGUCGAGCGAACCACUUCGGUGGUGAGCGGCGAACGGGUGAGUAACGCGUGAGAAACCUGCCUUUCAGUGGGGGACAACAGUUGGAAACGACUGCUAAUACCGCAUAAUGUUAUUUAAGGGCAUCCUUGAAUAACCAAAGCUUUAUGUGCUGAAAGAUGGUCUCGCGUCUGAUUAGCUAGAUGGCGGGGUAACGGCCCACCAUGGCGACGAUCAGUAGCCGGUCUGAGAGGAUGAGCGGCCACAUUGGGACUGAGAUACGGCCCAGACUCCUACGGGAGGCAGCAGUGGGGAAUAUUGGGCAAUGGGCGCAAGCCUGACCCAGCAACGCCGCGUGAAGGAAGAAGGUUUUCGGAUUGUAAACUUCUGUCCUAAGUGACGAAAAAAGUGACGGUAGCUUAGGAGGAAGCCCCGGCUAACUACGUGCCAGCAGCCGCGGUAAUACGUAGGUUGCAAGCGUUGUCCGGAUUUACUGGGUGUAAAGGGCGUGUAGGCGGAGAUGCAAGUUGGGAGUGAAAUCCCGGGGCUCAACCCCGGAACUGCUUUCAAAACUGCAUCCCUUGAGUAUCGGAGAGGCAAGCGGAAUUCCUAGUGUAGCGGUGAAAUUGCGUAAAAAUUAGGAGGGACAGCCGGUGGGGAAGGCGGCUUGUUGGAGUCCUAUGACGUCUGAGGCGCGAAAGCGUGGGGAGCAAACAGGAUUAGAUACCCUGGUAGUCCACGCUGUAAACGGAUGAAUACUAGGUGUGGGAGGACUGACCCCUUCCGUGCGGCAGUUUAACACAAUAAGUAUUUCCACCUGGGGAGUACGACCGCAAGGUUGAAACUCAAAGGAAUUGACGGGGGCCCGCACAAGCAGUGGAUUAUGUGGUUUAAUUCGACGCAACGCGAAGAACCUUACCAGGAUUUGACAUCCAACUAACGAAGCAGAGAUGCAUUAGGUGCCCUUCGGGGAAAGUUGAGACAGGUGGUGCAUGGUUGUCGUCAGCUCGUGUCGUGAGAUGUUGGGUUAAGUCCCGCAACGAGCGCAACCCCUAUUGUUAGUUGCUACGCAAGAGCACUCUAGCGAGACUGCCGUUGACAAAACGGAGGAAGGCGGGGACGACGUCAAAUCAUCAUGCCCCUUAUGUCCUGGGCUACACACGUAAUACAAUGGCCGUCAACAGAGGGAAGCAAAAUCGCGAGGUGGAGCAAAUCCCUAAAAACGGUCUCAGUUCGGAUUGCAGGCUGCAACUCGCCUGCAUGAAGCUGGAAUUACUAGUAAUCGCGGAUCAGCAAGCCGCGGUGAAUA